rnacentral:misc_RNA from 1 species
GAAAUGCGAUACGUAAUGUGAAUUGCAGAAUUUUGUGAAUCAUCGAAUCUUUGAACGCAAAUUGCGCUCUCGAUUCACGUCGAGAGCAUGCCUGCUUGAGUGUCAGUAACCUCACCUCGCCUCCCGCUGCUGCCGCUGUGCAGUGCCGGGACGCGGACGAUGGGCGCUUUCUGUCUGAGGCUGCGCGCCUCCGUCGCCCGAAGGACAGCUCUCGUGGCCCCUCCCGUGUUUGCCUGUCUGUUGCUUGCCAAAACAGCAGCAGCAGCAGGCAGCGGCGUGCGACCUCUUCUGUUUGUGCAAUGAGCUGCCAUCGCGUGCAAGCCCUCCACAAGCAGCUGUCGCCCGCUCAGGGUGUGCGUGUGCACCACUCAACCUUUGACCUCAAGUCAGGUAGGAGGACCCGCUGAAUUUAA